UGGAGGUUCCCAGGCUAGGGGUUGAAUCAGAGCUGUAGCCACCGGCCUACGCCAGAGCCACAGCAACGCGGGAUCCGAGCCGCGUCUGCAACCUACACCACAGCUCAUGGCAAUGCCGGAUCAUUAACCCACUGAGCAAGGGCAGGGACCGAACCCACAACCUCAUGGUUCCUAGUCGGAUUCGUUAACCACUGCACCACGACAGGAACUCCUAUUUCUUUUUCUUGCCUUAAAACCUCAAGUACAAGUGGUUAGAGUAGACUUCCCUUCUCUGGGNCGACAGGAACUCCUAUUUCUUUUUCUUGCCUUAAAACCUCCAGUACAAGUGGUCAGAAUAGACUUCCCUUCUCCCCUUCUCUGGUUCCCAAUCUUUGAGAUGAAUUAUAAUAUUUAACAGUUAGGUAUUAUUUUAGCCAUAAAUGUUCAUAGGUGUUCUUUAUCUGAUUGAGAAGUUCUCUUUCCUGGCUACUUUUUUUUUUUUUUUAAAUCCGUCCGUUUUCUGUGGCUCUUGUUCUUUGAGGCCAUUUCUGGAGACCUGGCUUUAGAGAGGUGGGUGUGAGGGCAUUGUUGUAAGUCUGAUGGGUCCCAUGUUGUUCGAUCCAACUAAGAAAGACCGUUUCUCAGAGCAGAGAUUGGUUCUUUUAUCUGUCAUGCUCUUAGGCAGGGACAAUGCACGGAGCUCACUUAAUCUCAUAAGGCCAAAAUGAAUUGCGGGCUGUUUGCCGAAGCAUUUUUGGCUGCCCUCCUUCUGUGUGCUUUGAUAGAUUAAAUCAUUUAUUAUUUAAUAAGUGACCAGUAAUAACAAGUAAUAAUUCAAAAUGUGUUUUCUGUUGUUAGAGAGCUAGGGGAGAACAUGCCGUGAGAGAGCGUCCGUCCGUAAGUCAGGGAAACUAGCGACUUCAUCGACACAGGCCAGAAAGAGAAAACACAACAUGUUUACUUUCCGUAUCAGCAAGUGUUCACAAUGAGCAGGGCACCCAUCCCUCCUCGUCUGUGCAAAAGCAAGAGGACUUUCCUGGAAAGAGGGCUUCCGUGCUGGCAGAGAGUGUGCCGUCUUUGCCUUCCAAGGGGAGGACUCUAGGAAAUUCCCAAUAGGGAACAAUGCGUCUGCUUCAGAGUGUCAACGUGAAAAGCUGCCAUCAGCAAGGAGAAUCUUCCUAAAACAGGUGAGAAAGGGUCUUGGAGAAAAAAUUUUUGUACAACAACAAUGUCUACCCUAUGGUACACCCAAUAUUUGAUAAACAGUGAAAUGCAGGGAAAUAGACCUGAAAAUUCAGGUACAAAGGAAUUGCAACAUUUUUGGAUAAAAAUGCAUUGAACAUCUUGCAAAUACUCAAGAUAGGUCUAACGAGGUAUUUCCCCUGCCUUAAAAAAUCAACCCCAUGUACAUUCUUCUUUUUCUGCCUGUCUCUCUUUCUCACUGUUUUUCUCUCUGUGCAGUGAGAAUCUACAGUGUGCUGAGAAAAAUGUAUCUUUUUCCUGCAGCUGGCUCUGAGCUUGUCUCCUGCAGACAGUGAACGGCCCAGAGAUAAAGCCCAUCCCCACCAGGCCCCACCAGCAAUCUUGUGGAAACAGAGCCCCUGUGUUUGCCUGUGGUGGGGUCUGCCAUGUCUCUCUUUUAGGUGCUUGGCAUGUUGAAAAGAACUGCUGAGUUGGUCAUUGAUGGAGACAUGGCAUUCUUGUACAAGGGGACAGGGAAGACCCCAGGGGACCCUGGGGCUACCGCCUCUGCAGGUGGCGCUCGCCAGCCAGGAGGCAUGAAUU
rnacentral:lncRNA from 1 species